AACGAACGCUGGCGGCAGGCCUAACACAUGCAAGUCGAACGCCCUAGCAAAAGGGAGUGGCAGACGGGUGAGUAACACGUGGGAACGUGCCCUUCGGUUCGGAAUAACUCAGGGAAACUUUAGCUAAUACCGGAUAAGUGCGAGAGCAGAAGGACUUACCGCCGAAGGAUCGGCCCGCGUCCGAUUAGCUAGUUGGUUAGGUAAUGGCUCACCAAGGCGACGAUCGGUAGCUGGUCUGAGAGGAUUACCAGCCACACUGGGACUGAGACACGGCCCAGACUCCUACGGGAGGCGGCAGUGGGGAAUAUUGGAUAUUGGGGGCAAGCCUGAUCCAGCCCUGCUGCGUGAGUGAUGAAGGCCCUAGGGUUGUAAAGCUCUUUCGCCAGGGACGAUAAUGACGGUACCUGGAUAAGCAGCCCCGGCUAACUUGGUGCCAGCCGCCGCGGUAA
rnacentral:rRNA from 1 species